rnacentral:lncRNA from 1 species
CCAAGAAACCCCAAAUGGAGUUAUGAAGAGUUGGUCAUGCCUGAAAAAUGACUGAACUACAACAAAAUGACCCUUUGAGGUAAUUCCUGGCAAAUGCAGUGGCAAAUGUUUUGGAAGGAGGUAGAGACAUAGUGGAAAACAUGCUGCAUUUGGAGUCAGAGGACCUUCAUUCAAACCCUAGCCUUGCCACUUAUACCUGUGUAUUCAUAGUGGGGAAAAAAGGCAAAAGGUCAUCUCUUGAACAACAUAACUUUUCAGGCAUGAAG